rnacentral:rRNA from 1 species
UACGUAGGGACCAAGCGUUGUUCGGAUUCAUUGGGCGUAAAGGGUGCGUAGGCGGCGCGGUAAGUCGGGUGUGAAAUCUCGGAGCUUAACUCCGAAACUGCAUUCGAUACUGCCGUGCUUGAGGACUGGAGAGGAGACUGGAAUUUACGGGUGUAGCGGUGAAAUGCGCAGAUAUCGGGAGGAACACCAGUAGCGAAGGCGACAGCGUCUGGGCCGGUACUGGACGGU